rnacentral:misc_RNA from 1 species
GAUGAAGAACGCAGCGAAAUGCGAUAAGUAAUGUGAAUUGCAGAAUUCAGUGAAUCAUCGAAUCUUUGAACGCACAUUGCGCCCGUCAGUAUUCUGGCUGGCAUGCCUGUUCGAGCGUCAUUACGCCCCUCAAGUCCCCUGUGGACUUGGUGUUGGGGAUCGGCGAGGCUGGUUUUCCAGCACAGCCGUCCCUUAAAUUAAUUGGCGGUCUCGCCGUGGCCCUCCUCUGCGCAGUAGUAAAACACUCGCAACAGGAGCCCGGCGCGGUCCACUGCCGUAAAACCCCCCAACUUUUUAUAGUUGACCUCGAAUCAGGUAGGACUACCCGCUGAACUUAAGCAUAUCAAUAAGCGGAGGA